rnacentral:rRNA from 1 species
GGGCCCGCACAAGCGGAGGAACAUGUGGUUUAAUUCGAUGAUACGCGAGGAACCUUACCCGGGAUUGAAAUGUGCACGAAUAACGGUGAAAGCCGUUAGCCAUUAGGCGUGCAUGUAGGUGCUGCAUGGUUGUCGUCAGCUCGUGCCGUGAGGUGUCGGCUUAAGUGCCAUAACGAGCGCAACCCUGACCGUCAGUUGCCAUCAGGUAAAGCUGGGGACUCUGGCGGGACUGCCGGCGUAAGCUGUGAGGAAGGUUGGGAUGACGUCAAAUCAGCACGGCCCUUACAUCCGGGGCGACACACGUGUUACAAUGGCAUGGACAAAGGGCAGCUACCGGGCGACCGGAUGCUAAUCUCCAAACCAUGUCUCAGUUCGGAUCGGAGUCUGCAACUCGACUCCGUGAAGCUGGAUUCGCUAGUAAUCGCGCAUCAGCCAUGGCGCGGUGAAUACG